rnacentral:rRNA from 1 species
GACGAAUGCUGGCUGCGUGCUUAACACAUGCAAGUCGAACGGUGAAAGGGAGCUUGCUCCCUGGAUCAGUGGCGAACGGGUGAGUAACACGUGGGCAACCUGCCCCUCACUCUGGGAUAACUCCGGGAAACCGGGGCUAAUACCGGAUACGACCUGGUGCGACAUCGCACCGGGUGGAAAGAACUUCGGUGAGGGAUGGGCCCGCGGCCUAUCAGCUUGUUGGUGGGGUAACGGCCCACCAAGGCGACGACGGGUAGCCGGCCUGAGGGGGCGACCGGCCACACUGGGACUGAGACACGGCCCAGACUCCUACGGGAGGCAGGAGUGGGGAAUAUUGCGCAAUGGGCGAAAGCCUGACGCAGCGACGUAGCGUGAGGGACGAAGGCCUUCGGGUUGUAAACCUCUUUCAGCGGGGACGAAGCGAAAGUGACGGUACCCGCAGAAGAAGCACCGGCUAACUACGUGCCAGCCGCCGCGGUAACAC